CUAGCAGAGGAAUCCAUAGAUGGGACCAGCCCAUGUUAACCAUUAACACCCCAACUUCAUCCUGGUGGUGUAGCAUGACCUAGAUGAGGAGAACGACGGAGAAGAAGAGUCCAUUGCAAAGGCAGGAAAGUGGUGGAAAUAGAAGAAAUGGGAUUAGCACCUGCAUGACCCAAUGCGCCACGGUUCAGGAAUGGAUGAAUUGUGUAGUACUGUGGGCAGCUCGACCACAACCACAAGCACUUUCUGUGAGCCAAUCAAUGUGGAGAAGAAAGCAGUUCUGCCAAUGACAAGAUGGGCGGAAGUGACCAGUGCCAAGCCAAUAGGGAAUCGAUACAACGCAAAACCUGCAAGACAAUCAGAGAGGAACACACACUUUAUCAUCAUCUUGAUAGUCUUACUGGAGCACAAUCAACCUGACAUUCUACAACACUGUCGUGUGUAAGCGUGUCUGGAUGCUGGGGUGAAAUCUGACUCCAGGUUUGGGAGGGAGAGCAUCUGGAGAGCACCUAAAGCACUCCGCCCACCACUCCCAAACCUCCCGUCCAAACGGCUCCAGGACCGCCAGGACACAGGAUCAACACUUUGAAAUGAUACGUAACUUGAAGCAGAAAGUAAUGCCUCAUUCACAGCCUGAUGAUGCGUGGAAAAGAACCAGCAGAUGAAGCUGAUACGAAAGGCAUCAUGUAAAUGUUGGCGAUCUGCAGCGCUUUUAUGGCGUCUGAGACACAGGACUAAUUGUGUCCUCUGGUGAAGAUGGAUUUGCAUGCUUUAACUUAUGCAGCGUGACUCGCCUUGCUCUCGUACACUAACUCUGACACACACACACUCACUUUCAACCCCCUUCUGUUGAGCUCGCACGCUCUUACAAUUGAAACAGACCUCGUGUAUUUCCUCCUUUUCAAGAAAAUGCCAACAGGUGGAGGUUUGAUAGACCGGCCCAGACGCCAGAUCGCACAGAGCAGAAAAAAGUCCGAAUGAAAUUUGCUGGAGCAUGUGACCUGAACGGCCCAAUGACACUCGGAUGCUUUUUUUUUUUUUCAGUUGUGGGGAACGGUUAAACUUGUCGUCUGGCUAAGGGAGAAGCUUUUUCUGUGGGCCGCCACAACCACAAACCAAGUCUGCGACCGGUCACGGCUCUCUAGGCACUAGAGAUCUGCGAGAUAAAGAUAGACGAGAGGGACUGAAGAGCACGAGGGGGGAGGGAGAUGCGUGUUGAUGUCAUCGUGUGAAACAGACAAUUCGCCGGAAAAACCACAGCGACACGUUUGCGCUCCUGCUCUUUUGCACAAGGGUAAGCAUCAGUUAACCACAGGCUGACCACCGAUCGCAAUCGCCCGUGUCUGUGAACCAUGCACAGAGUCCCAGGACCGAACCGCCUCUCUGGACCGGCUCAGGGCGACCACGGGUUCCCGGGUGUGGGGCAAAACCGGGAGCCCUUCAAAAUUCGGGAGCAGAUCAAGUUGGAAGCGUUGGAUUCGGACGAAGACGAGGAGAUGGCCUCCAACAGCAUCUUCGAAAGCUUCUCGUCGUACCAGUCGUGCUUCUCCAGGGGUGAGUGUCCGAGCCGGUGUUUUACUCUCUCCACGCCGAUGUUUGCGCCAAAUGACGAAGCUGGUUUGCAGUGUCGGUGGAGUACUGAAAUCUUGUGGCUGAAUCUGAAAACCACAGGUCUGUGGGUUACUGAGUACUGGUUAACCUCAUUCAAUGCAUGCUGGACU